GGUGUUAAAUUGGGGAUACGAUAAUUUCUUUCAAAAAACAAUUUUCCAAAGAAAAACAGAGUACACAAAGAGAUAACAAAACUGAAUAGAGAGAAAACUACGCAGAACUGGAAUAACUGAGAGGAGCAACAAGCUAGCUAGGGGAAUGGCUAAGUAGCAGUACAGAUAGCAAAGUCACUGACCAUUGUACGCCUGUGUUGAUAAAAAAAAGUUUGCUCGCCAAUUAAGAUUCCUAUUCAUAGCCUAUAUUAUUUUGUGUGCUAAACUCAGUCCAUUUUGUUGCCAUGCUAAUCACGCCAUCUGCACACACCAGAGAGGCAGACAAUAAGCAGCAUUGGCAAUUGUUAAGCAAUGGUUGUUUUCUCACUUAGACAUUGUAAGCUACAUCGGCUGCGCUAUACAACAAAUCAUAGUGAAUGCACAAGGGUCAGCAAUCACAGUGAAAGAAGUUCAAGUGGAAGAUAUUCAACCACCUGUUUAGUAAGGAAUUUGCA